ACGUAAUUUACUACACCCACAACCGUGGGAGAACCAUAAAUGAAAACGAGUCCCUUGAUGCAACUGCGUGACCAUGCAGUCACGCAGUUGCAGAAGUAUAAAAAAGGUAAGUAUCUGCACACAGUAACAGUGACAUCAGUGAAACAGCUAGGCCUAGUGUGAGAAAGGCCCCAACAUCCUUCCUGUUUAUAUUCAAUUCAUUUCGAUAACAUUUUAUUUAUAUAGCGCCAAGACAAUAAAAUUGUCUCAAGGCGCUUUAGAGCAAGCUCAAUCUCGACUGGGGCAAGAAAAAACUCCAUUUUAAUCUGGCAGAAACCUUAAGCAGAACUGUGUCACAUAAGCGGGGACCCAUCUGCUUGAGGUUGGCUGGGUAGAUAGAAAGGGGGGGGGGGAGACAACAAGUGGUAAAUGUACACAGGGUAAAUAUACACAGCAUGUGGGAGAUGUACAUAAUACAUACAAAAGAGCUUAGUGGCUAUACAGUGUGCUCAUAGGGUUACUGUUACAAGGGUUAGUAGAGUAGGAACAGAAAAACAUGUCGACAGUGGCAGUUAUAUACAGUGCAGGAAAAUGCUAGCACAGACUAUGGGGUAGAAUAAGUGUAUGACAGUAUGGUGGGGAUGGCUAGAAGUCGGCAGAGGGCUUUUACAAGAAGAUUGGGUGAAGAGACUACAGCAGGAUUCCACAGCGAAGAUAGUCUAGACUAGGAGGGGAAGAAAGAAACAAAGUUAGUGGGUAGAGUUCGGCUGCCAAUAUGCGUAGAUGUAUAUGUUGGAUAUGAUGAUGAGGAGUAAUGUUUUCACAUAUAUCCGCAUUUGCGAGCAAAGGUGACGCUAUAAGAGAGAACAUUUUGUUAGUAGACAUCAAUUUGAUAAACAGAUAAGGAGAUACAUUUAGGUAGCAAUUAACAGUAGGUAAUAUGGCCACUCUAUCAGUAUCAAUAUAAGCAUUUGCAAUAGGUUAUGGAAGAAGUGGGAGAGAGAGAGGUUGUCUGGUCAAGUGUAUGGGAAUUUUAUUUGCAUUUAAUUUUGAUGAGUUAUGGUUGACUGACAUGGUGCAUGCAGAUUUUAGUUAGGAUAGAAAGAGUGGUGGGAUACACCCAGUGCCCAACUGGCUUUGAGACGUAGGAUCCGUAAGAGCACUCCUUCACGGUACAACAUGUGCUGUCGGUAUCCCAUUUUGAUUGAUUUUGAGGGUUUCAUAUGUGUUUAAUUCUGAUGAGUUAAGUUUAAUUAUGUUGGCUGGCUUGGUUGCAUGGGGAGUUUUAGUUAUACAAGCAUAGUAAGGGUGGCAGGAUAGAAUAGCAGUGCACAACUGGCUGGCAACAGCCGCAACACAGCCUACAAUAAUAAUAUUGGCAAUAUUAUAUGGUAAUUAUUUAAACAGCUUACAAACACUGAUUAGCAUAAAAAUGGCUUCAUGAUAGCCACAGUUAAAAAUCGUAUUUACACAAUUACAGGUGCACUUUAUUAACAAUAUGGUAUGAAAUAACUUCGCCUAUGAGCUCGCGCUGCAGCAUACAUGCGUACUCGCUUGGCCUGACGUCAUGGUCAGCAGAACCAGGAGUUGAUGCAGAGUUACAUGUUAACACAUAUUCGAAAGUCACACCUCGACAGCAUUUUUGCAGUGUUGACACAUUUUAAGUAAGUGUAUCGUAUUUAUACUGUCCUUACGUUUGUUCGUAGAACCAGGAUGGGAUACAGGUACUUUCAAGGUAUUACAAGUAAGCUAAUUUGUGUCUUCCGGUAUGUUGUGGGUCCAUUGGAAAUUCCUAGUUACGGAUAGCUCGUGCUGCCACCCACAGUUAAUUAAGUCCUGUCGGCUGUAUACGUAGUUUGCUUUAGAAAUAUUGACCAACAAACACAAAAACGAGAACAAAAACAAAUCACCAAAUUGAAGAGCAAGGAGCCGCUGCGUCCAUACGCGCCGCCAUCACCAAAGCACCUGAUAAGUUAGUUAGCUAAAUAACGUUAGCAUAUUCGCUCCAUGUGGCCAUUGCCUGCUCUCUGUGGUCAUGUGUGUGUAGCAAAUAUUUCUUGUUGAAUAGUGUAGAAGAUGCAUUAGUUUUGUGAAUUUUUAUUCAUCAGAAUCCUAAUUUCAUCACGUAUCUCAUAUUGACAUUUUGCACGCAGUUGAAACGAUAUUUCGGGUGUGUUUAAGAGGUGUUUGACAUUUUUAAAGCUGUAAUUACAUUAUGGCCGCUAGAUGGUGACAGAAGGCUAUUCUUUGAAUAGUAACACACAUAACGGUGCCGUAAAAUGCUUACAUCUAUCUGUAUUUGUGUUUUUUUUUUUGUAUUGUGUAAAAAGGGUAUUUCUAUAACAGUCCACACAUGUUAUUAAUGUUCUUUCAGAAUCAAGUGUGUUCUGACAGAUGCGCUGAAUGAUGGUGUCAAAAUCCUAACUAUUUGACCAUAUUAUUCUCCGAUUUUCUCAGGUGCGUCAGGUGAAACUGGGCAAAGUCCAAGGAGGGGCAUGUUCUGGUGUCUCUGACCUACAACGGCAAGAGAGGGGAGCCUCAGGUGGGGGUCAUCCUCUGUGCCAACCUGGUCGCCGUGGAUGCCAACAUCUUCUCUGACCCCUGACCCCUUCGUCAAAAUGAGCUGUCUAAAGAAGCCAGACGGAUUAAGGACGCCGCCACUUGCAGGACAAGUCUGCGCCUAUGAGGGAGGACCUUGUGCGGCAGAAUGCUCUGGCUAUGGUCCGGAGCUGGCGGAGGUGCUAUGAGACUACAUCCUGCAGUUUGGAAAGUAUAAAGGUGGCUUUUGGUGAAUGAUGUAGGCUACACUACUCUUAUCAAGAAUCUUUGUAAGGAGGAGGCUUUAGGUAUCUGUAUGGCCGAGGGGCAUAGCAAGUACAGCCUACUGUAAUUUGUGAAUUAUGCUCUCAGUUUUGCAGAGAUCCAGUCUCUCUUCUCAACUAGGGCCGGUGGAGUGGGUGUUGUGGCAGCCUCAUCAGAAGACGAGCAGCUGGUUGGCUUUGGCUCUCAGGCCAAGAUAUUGGAUAACAGAGUUGAUGGCUACGCAGACUUCGCCAUGGGGAGGAUACUUGAUGUCUUGGUAAAAUAUUUCAAUCAAAGUUUGAUUUGCACAGCCUCUGUAAGAACACGUCAUGACAACAACAAUAGACAGUGAAUAUGCAGCAGUUGCCUGCAGCAUAUGGUUUGGUA